AAUCUCCAUUCUCUCCCAAGCUGGAAGGUUUUGUUGGUUUUGGUGCUACAGAGUAAUUUGAUGCUCUGAAGUUUCUCAAAGAGUCAACAGAAUGGACCAAAUUUCUUUCUGGAUCAAAACCAGGAAUUGUGGUGCAAGCGAAUUGGGGCCAGUGACAAAUUGAUUUGCAUGAGAUGUCAUUUUGACUUGGAAGAAGCUGCCUCUGAUACCGCAUAAAGCAGCCUCAGUCGUGACGCAUCUGCACCAGAAUUUCCUCCGCUAAUCACUACUGAGCUGUUGUGAGAUGGAAGUUAUUAGCCCCUUGCACUUCUUCCCUAACACCACACCAGGAAUGUGGAAGGAGAGCAGGUACAAUAAAACUUCUCUACCCUUGCAGUUUUCAGAGAUGUAAACAACAAAGUGCUGGUAUUUUUAUUCUCUAAAGUCUCUUGAUGCAACCGUGCUGGCACGUUGCCUUUAAAAAGGACUACUUCAAAGGGAGUUCAUGUUUUACUUUGGCUUUUUCCUCUUUUUAUGCAACCAAAGGCAAGACCUCAGAAGGAAAUAUUUCCAUUUAUUCCACCGUCAAGUGCUUAGGCUCCAAGACUUUGCUGUACUCCAAGGUGGACAUUGUUUGUAGACAGCACCUAAAUACCUCAGACAGUACUUUUAUCCUAAAGAAUCUGAGGAAGAAUGUUUUUGUUUUGCUACUUUAAAAACAUGCUUUGAAAGAAAAAUGUUGAAGUGUGAUGGAUUUGGUAAAUAGCCCAAAAACUAGCUCCUCUUGAAAAAGGCCAAGUGCACCUCAAGAAAUACGUUGUUUGCAAGAAAACCCCAAAAGUUUCUUAGAGCAUCUUACUACUCCUUGUUGAAAACUCUUAUUUGCAUUUUUGCAUUUUGAUUUGCACUGUCCUCUGUUCAUGCAUUAACAGCAGAGCAAAUAGCUCCACAAGAAGAGAACAAAUAUUAUUUACGUGAAAGCUAUGCCCUGUUUUCAUCAGUAUCUAGUAACAGAUGCCCCGGAGAACAGUGCUAAUAAUUUUUUGGAGAGGUCA